AAGCAAUGAUGAAAGCUGCGCUCUUGUGGUGAUUUGGGUCUCCACAACUUGUCCGAUCGUAAUCGGACGACAAUCAGCGCCACUGAGCUU